CAGCCCGCCGAAGCCUUGUACCUAGCAGUCCGCCUCCGGGCGGGCGACAUCCGCCUGUUGCUGGAAAUCGCCUUCCUCCGGGUAGGUCAACCAGCUGCUGCAUGCCCGUGCAGUCCACAGAUCAAACGCGGGUGGCCUGCGCCCCAGGGAACACCCCCGGGGUCGCUGGUUAAGAUAUGACCGUAGCAGCUCUGCGAAGGUGCUGACCACUAGUUCCGUAGGCGAACCUGCGGAAGGAUCAUUACCGAGA
rnacentral:misc_RNA from 1 species